rnacentral:lncRNA from 1 species
AUCAGAAUGGGAAAUACAACCUAGAACCAAACGGUCAUCACUUCAGCAGGGUUUUUUGAAGAAUCAAAUAUUCAAUGGGAUACAAAUGACAAGAGGCUACAGUGGAUGGGAACUGUGUGACUGUAAGAAUUGUGGACAGGUCUUCAGUGAACAGUUUUGCCUUAAGACACACAUGAGAGCUCAGAAUGGAGGGAACACUUCUGAGGGUAAUUGUUAUGGAAAAGACAUCCUCAGUGUGCACAAGGAAGCUUCUAUUGGACAGGAACUUUCCAAAUUUAACCCAUGUGGAAAUGUCUACACUCUAACUCCAGGCUUUGCUGUGCAUCUUGAAAUUCUCAAUGCAAGACAACCCUACAAAUGUAAGGAAUGUGGAAAAGGCUUUAAGUAUUUUGUAAGCCUUGAUAAUCACAUGGGAAUCCACACUGGUGAGAAACUCUGUGAAUUUCAGGAAGGUGGGAGAGCCAUCACAGUUUCCUCACAUCUAAAGCAGUGUGUAACAGUUCAUACAGGAAAGAAAUCUAAAAAGACUAAGAAAGGUGGGAAAUCCUUCACUAAUUUUUCUCAACUUUAUACAUGUGAAAAAUCAUAAAGGAGAGAAGUCCUUUGAACGUAAAGAAUGUGGAAGGUCCUUUAGAAAUUCCUCAUGCCUUAAUGAUCACAUUCAAAUUCACACUGGAAUAAAACCGCGCAAGUGUACAUACUGCGGGAAAGCCUUCACUAGAUCAACUCAACUUAUUGAACAUGUAAGAACUCACACUGGAAUACAACCCUGUGAAUGUAAGGAAUGUGGCCAAGCCUUCAUUCAGUACUCGGGCCCUUCUAUACACAUACGAAAUCGCAGUGGAAAGAAACCCUAUCAGUGUAAGGAAUGUGGGAAAGCCUUCACUACGUCCACAAGCCUUAUUCAACAUACAAGAAUUCACACAGGAGAGAAGCCUUAUGAAUGUGUUGAAUGUGGGAAUACCUUCAUUACUUCUUCCCGUCAUAGUAAACAUUUGAAAACUCAUAGUGGAGAAAAGACCUUUGUAUGCAAGAUAUGUGGGAAAGCAUUUCUGUAUUCCUCAUGCCUUAAUGUUCACCUGCAAACUCAUACCAGAGGGAAACCUUUCGUAUGUAAAGAAUGCGGGAAAGCAUUUGCUGUUUCCUCACGCCUAAGUAGACAUGAAAGAAUUCACACUGGGGAGAAACCCUAUGAAUGUAAGGGUAUGAGUGUUACCAUU